GACGUAGGGUGCGAGCGUUGUCCGGAUUUAUUGGGCGUAAAGAGCUCGUAGGCGGCUUGUCGCGUCGGCCGUGAAAACUUGGGGCUCAACCCCAAGCCUGCGGUCGAUACGGGCAGGCUAGAGUUCGGUAGGGGAGACUGGAAUUCCUGGUGUAGCGGUGAAAUGCGCAGAUAUCAGGAGGAACACCGGUGGCGAAGGCGGGUCUCUGGGCCGAUACUGACGCUGAGGAGCGAAAGCGUGGGGAGCGAACAGG
rnacentral:rRNA from 1 species